AACGAACGCUGGCGGCGUGGAUUAGGCAUGCAAGUCGCGCGACGAACCAUUGGGUUUUUUGAGGCAACUUGAGGAUCCCGAUGGGGAAAGCGGCGAACUGGUGCGUAACACGUGGGUAACCUACCCCAGAGCGGGGGAUAACUCCGGGAAACCGGAGCUAAUACCGCAUACAUUUCGCGGAAUCACGGUUCCGUGAAACAAAGAUCAUUGAUGGGAAACUGUUUAUGGUCACUUUGGGAUGGGCCCGCGCCCCAUCAGCUUGUUGGUGAGGUAAUGGCUUACCAAGGCAACGACGGGUAGCUGGCCUGAGAGGGUGGUCAGCCACACCGGGACUGAGAUACGGCCCGGACUCCUACGGGAGGCAGCAGUCUAGAGGCUUCGGCAAUGGGCGAAAGCCUGACCGAGCGACGCCGCGUGCGGGAUGAAGCUCUUCGGGGUGUAAACCGCUGUCAGUAGGGACGAAAAACCGGAAGGUUCAAGCUUUCCGGGCUUGACGGUACC
rnacentral:rRNA from 1 species